rnacentral:tRNA from 1 species
AACCUCGUGGUGUAAUGGCAGCACAAGAGUUUUUGGUACUCUCGGUCUAGGUUCAAAUCCUGGCGGGGUUG